rnacentral:rRNA from 1 species
UCCUACGGGAGGCAGCAGUGGGGAAUAUUGCACAAUGGGGGAAACCCUGAUGCAGCCAUGCCGCGUGUGUGAAGAAGGCCUUCGGGUUGUAAAGCACUUUCAGUUGUGAGGAAAAGUUAGUAGUUAAUACCUGCUAGCCGUGACGUUAACAACAGAAGAAGCACCGGCUAACUCCGUGCCAGCAGCCGCGGUAAUACGGAGGGUGCGAGCGUUAAUCGGAAUUACUGGGCGUAAAGCGCACCCAGGCGGUUUGUUAAGCUAGAUGUGAAAGCCCCGGGCUCAACCUGGGAUGGUCAUUUAGAACUGGCAGACUAGAGUCUUGGAGAGGGGAGUGGAAUUCCAGGUGUAGCGGUGAAAUGCGUAGAUAUCUGGAGGAACAUCAGUGGGGAAAGCGACUCCCUGGCCAAAGACUGACGCUCAUGUGCGAAAGUGUGGGUAGCGAACAGGAUUAGAUACCCUGGUAGUCCACACCGUAAACGCUGUCUACUAACUGUGUGUGUCUUUAAAACAUGCGUAGCGAAAA